rnacentral:rRNA from 1 species
AUUGAACGCUGGCGGCAUGCCUUACACAUGCAAGUCGAACGGUAACAGGGAGCUUGCUCCGCUGACGAGUGGCGAACGGGUGAGUAAUAUAUCGGAACGUGCCCUAGAGUGGGGGAUAACUAGUCGAAAGAUUAGCUAAUGCCGCAUACGAUCUAAGGAUGAAAGUGGGGGAUCGCAAGACCUCAUGCUCGUGGAGCGGCCGAUAUCUGAUUAGCUAGUUGUAGGGUAAAGCUACCAAGGCAUCGAUCAGUAGCUGGUCUGAGAGGACGACCAGCCACACUGGGACUGAGACACGGCCCAGACUCCUACGGGAGGCAGCAGUGGGGAAUUUUGGACAAUGGGCGCAAGGCCUGAUCCAGCAAUGCCGCGUGA